UGCUAUACCUCAGUUAGUAGAACACGAGACUCUUAAUCUCAAGGUUGUGGGUUCAAGCCCCAUGCUGGACAA